AGGAAAACUAAUCCUAAAAUUUCCAUAAGAUAGGUGAUAGAAGUAUAUACGAAACUUACUUUCAGUGGAAAGUAAUUCCUAGUAUUUAUUUACAUUUUAGUUUCAGAUAAUUUUGAUGAAAACGCAUAAAAUUUAGAGUAAGAUAAUGUUAUGGUCUGUUUGAUCUCACCUGAUAAUUGGUGAAAAUGAAAUAGCUGUGUUUUUCCUCCUGGCCCAGGUUGUAGAAUGUUUGGUACAACCAUGCCUCACACUCUUGAGGAAGGUUUUAUGUGGUGAUCCAGUCAUGCGUGUUUCGCUCUCGCAACAGUCUUCUCUUUUGACCGUGUUAUUCAGAGUUUCCUUAAUAUUUCAUGAAGAUUGUAGUGUCGUGACUGAAGUUGGAGCACUAUUUUGUCUUCUAUUAUUUGAUGAAGUAUCAAGAAUGGAUAUGUGGUCUGUUAAUCCUUCCAAUAAACCUUCUUUGCCAUCAGUCUUCAGUUUGCCUGUUUCCGUUUUUAGAAGGUACCAUCUACCUGUUCAUGUAAUUGGACACCAUGCUGUGAGUCCUUACUCCAUAGUUUUGCCCUUAUCUGCUGAUUGUUUGGCCUUGAAGCCGGUGUCAGAUAUGCUGAGAAUAGCUUGGAACCUGUCAUGGUAUCAUGGGAGUGAUAAUCUGUUGAAGCAAAUGAACUCUGAAACUAAAACGCAAGAAAUUUUAGAUGCAUUGAAGUUAUCUACAGAGGACAUCCUCACUCUGAAGAUAACACACAUGGCUAGUGGGCUGCAGGACUGCCUCCAUUCCAUUGUUCAGGCUGCAACCCACAGGGAAGUUAGGGCUGCUGUCACCAGGAUGAGUUUUUAUCUUCUGAAUGACAGAUUGUCUUUAAAGGGUUGCCCUGGUCCAUGUGUGGUUACCUUGAAGUCCUUGGCUUGGCACACCGCACUAAACAGGUUUUUACAAGUGCUUCCUGCUUGCACUGAAGAUGAGAAACUGCUAAUAGAUAUCGUACAUUUUUUAAAUAAAUUAAUAAAGGAACAAAGAAAAAAUUCUUCACUAGAACUUCUAAACUGGAUUCUCGAAUUACUUCUUAGACAUAGUGCAAACCCACUGUUAGACCUCUUGGUUCUGACAGAGUCACAGGCACGAGAAGAAACAGAUGAUAUCCGGACUGCUGUCAGGCAACAACUUCAGAAAGAACUGAUUGCUCUUUUUGAUACCUUGCUGCUCAAUUUCAUGGAAGUUACUGACAGGAAAUGCUCGGAACUUCUUUACGUUUUUCAAACGCAGCUGGCUCUGAAACUGCUCCAGUGUCUGAAAGUGACGGAUGCGCCUCAUUUCUAUGGCCUGCCGUCCCUUGAGCGGACCUUACGAGGGAUGGCUAACCUCACUGCGUUUCCGGGAUGGAGCUCACACUCUCCUCUCACAAACCCUCUAGAUAUCUGUGUGAAGUACUUGUCAGGUCUCCUUGAGGUCAUUACUUCUUUUUAUGUGGAGCGUGGAGGAAAUGCUAUGUCCUUCAUGGGAAAAGGUGUUACAAAGAGCACAAUUCUUUGCUUGCUUCACUUAUCCCAUGAGAUGAUGGCCCAGGCUGGGAGCUCGGAGUGGAUGUCACUUUGGUUCUUGCCUUUGGGUAGUCAUAGUGAAGAACAUAUUCCUACUCAACAAGGAUUGGCUUGGUUGAUUCCAUUAUGGGUUGAUCGGGACCCAGAGGUGAGAUUCACUUCACUGGGAUUAGGAUCAGCACUGACCACCCUUGAAACUGGCUGUGUGGCCUUAGCAAACAGUUGUCAGAACAUUUCCGGUGGGCUCUGGGGAACUGUGGUGAACAUUCUUCUGGACCAGUCAGAAUGUAGUAUGGUGCGCCGGGAGGCGGCAUUUAUUCUUCAGAAUCUCCUUGUAAUUCCAAUGCCUACAGAAAUUAUAAAGGAUUAUACUUGGCAGGGUCCCUGUGUUCAUGAUGAGGACUCUGGCCUAUCGCUCAUUGGAAAACCUGCCCUUCAGGCUCUUUUAUAUCACUGCCAUUUUUAUGAACAUUUGAAUCAGAUGGUAAAGCAUUGUUACCUAGGACGGUGUAUGUUUGAUUUGAAUUUUUCUGCUUUUGAUAGAAAUUCAGAAAGCAAUGAUUUAAAUGGUUUAGAUGACUCAUUCAAGUUUUGGAGGGCUCCAUCUAGGAUAAGUCAGGAUCGAGAUCCAAGUUCUCUCUCCACCUCAGAAACAACGGUGGCACCUUCAUUGGGGAGUACUGAAUUUCAGCCACUUGUGCAGUCAACAACACUUCUGCCUGAAGCCUCCCAUGACCAGUUUGUGGCUCAAGGUCACCAGGAAAGUACAUCACCACGGCCACCUCAUGAUUCAUCUCUUUCUGCUCCCCUGCCCAGACUGUGUGUUUUUGUUACUCCAUCUCUUCUUUCAGCAAUGUGCAGCCUCUUGGACAACCUCUUGACGAUUGCUCCCAGAGACACUGCAAAGGCUUUUCAACAAGCUCAUCUCAUAGAACUUCUCUGUAGCAUUGCAGAUGCUACCCUCAUACAGACAUGUGUCCAGGAACUCAGAGCCCUGCUGCCUUCAUCACCUCCAGCUGAACACACUCAGGCUCAGGUUUCCUUUCUCCUGGAAUACCUAUCCUCUUUGUCCAGGCUUCUGCAGUCAUGUUUAUUGGUGGAGCCUGACCUUGUGAUUCAGGAUGAGCUUGUGAAACCUCUUAUCACCAAUAUCAUUGGAAUUCUCACCAUAUGUACCAAAGAUGUAUCAGAUAAAGAGUUAAUAUCAGCUUUUUAUCACACAUGGACACAUUUAUUUAAUCUUCUGGCCAUGCUCCUGAGGAAAGCUGGUGCCGUCACACUCCCGUCUGUUACCGUGGCCCUGGCCAAGCACUGGACAGCGGCGAUUGAUAUGUUCUGCAGAUGUGCAGGCUUGUCUGCCACGUGUCCUGCCCUGUAUACUGCCAGCUUGCAAUUCCUUUCUAUUCUCUUGACCGAAGAAGCAAAAGGGCAUCUCCAGGCUAAGAGCAAAACACAUUUAUGCUGUAGUCCAACAGUGGCUUCACUUCUUGAUGACUCUCAGGAAAAUCAGAAAUCUCUAGAACGACUUAGUGAUGUAAUCCUUCAGUGCUAUGAAGGGAAAUCCUCCAAAGAUAUCCUGAAAAGAGUAGCUGCAAAUGCAUUGAUGUCACUUCUGGCUGUCAGUAGAAGAGCACAGAAACAUGCUUUGAAAGCCAAUCUUAUAGACAAUUGCAUGGAGCAGAUGAAACACAUAAAUGCACAACUGAACCUAGAUUCUCUGAGGCCUGGGAAAGCAGCAUUGAAAAAAAAGGAGGAUGGUGUUAUUAAAGAGUUAAGCAUUGCCAUGCAGCUCCUAAGAAACUGUCUUUAUCAAAAUGAGGAAUGUAAAGAAGCAGCUCUUGAAGCUCACCUUGUCCCUGUCUUGCACUCUCUCUGGCCUUGGAUUUUGAUGGAUGAUUCAUUGAUGCAAAUUUCUCUGCAGCUCCUUUGUGUCUAUACUGCAAAUUUUCCAAAUGACAUUGUGAUAGGCUGUUAUUUUUGAAGGUUGCAGUUCUCUUUGUUGGUCAAGUUGUGGACAACACCCUGUUCAAGCUACACAUAGAGGAGCCGUGAGCAACUCUCUGAUGCUGUGUAUCCUAAAGUUGGCUUCCCAGAUGCCACUGGAGAACACCACGGUUCAGCAGAUGGUUUUUAUGCUUCUUUCAAACCUGGCCUUGUCGCAUGACUGUAAAGGAGUAAUUCAGAAGAGUAACUUCUUACAGAACUUCCUCUCUCUAGCAUUGCCAAAAGGAGGAAAUAAACAUCUAAGUAAUCUGACUAUUCUUUGGUUGAAGUUACUCCUGAAUAUAUCAUCUGGAGAAGAUGGGCAACAAAUGAUUCUGAGGCUUGAUGGCUGUCUAGACUUACUAACAGAGAUGAGCAAAUACAAGCACAAGAGCAGCCCUUUAUUGCCUCUUCUUAUCUUUCAUAAUGUUUGCUUCAGUCCUGCUAAUAAACCCAAGAUCCUGGCUAAUGAAAAAGUCAUUACUGUGCUUGCUGCCUGUCUGGAAAGUGAGAAUCAAAAUGCUCAGAGGAUUGGAGCAGCUGCCCUUUGGGCUCUGAUUUACAAUUAUCAGAAGGCAAAAACAGCUUUGAAAAGCCCAUCAGUAAAAAGAAGAGUGGAUGAAGCAUACUCCUUAGCAAAGAAAACUUUCCCAAACUCAGAAGCAAACCCUCUAAAUGCCUAUUAUUUGAAAUGUCUUGAAAACCUCGUGCAGCUCCUUAAUUCUUCCUGAGUGCCAUGGGAUGCUACACCUUGAAGCUGACAGUCAUCAACAGGGGAGCUAAAGUUGAAGCCAGCUGUGUGUAGCAGCUGUUACCUGAAGACAUGCUACCUCUCUACAAAGUGUUGAUCCCCUUCUUUCCCAUGAGAGAGAGAACUGGUGAUACUCCAACACCGUCCAGUUGUGGCAGCUCUCCAGAAGUAAUAGCAGCUGACAACUUUCUGUGCCUUUUCCUUUCUGUUGAAAAGGCAUAGAAAGUUCUGGGAACAUAAACAUUUUUACCCUUUUCUAUGCCAUUUAUUUU
rnacentral:sRNA from 1 species